rnacentral:rRNA from 1 species
GUCUGCGGCCACGUCCCCCUGCACAAGCCCGCUGCCGUCUGAGCUCGGAAGCUAAGCAGGGUCGGGCCUGGUUAGUGCUUGGAUGGGAGGCCACACCGGGUGCUGUAGGCG